UUAAGACCUUAAAAUAUGCCGGAUAAUAAAAUCAACAGAUUAAAAUCCAAAGAAUAUGGCGGUGUUUUUAUAUAACCAGGGGAACCUGUUUCUUAAUUCGAUAGUCCACGAAAUUCCAACCUCUCAUAGAAUAAAUCAGCCUGUGUACUGCUGUCGCCAGUAAACCUAUAAAAGAUAGUUUACAACAAAUAAUAAUUUCAUUACACGUCAAGUCAAAGUGCAGCUUAUGGGGAGGAGACAAUGGGUUACAAUCUUAAAACUCAGAAAACGAAUAUUCACAAUAAAAAUGUGUUGAAGGUGGACUUGGAAGUAAUAUACAAAAAAAAAUAAUAUAAAUCUUUCUAAAACACGUACACAUCGCCCGUCACUCUCAUCUAAAGAAG
rnacentral:rRNA from 1 species